UUUCCCUUGAAGAGUGCUGGAGCGGAGCAGCCAGGUCAAACAAGCUGUCAUCCUUGCUCAGCCUGUGGGGCUGAUGCAGCUGAGUAUUCAGUUGCUAGUGACCCUCUAGGCUUUGGAGUAAGCACACCAGCUAAACCCAUGCAGGGAAUGGGGACCAUCCGGCUGGGGCGAAGAGCUGUGAUGUACACAGUGGAAACCAUUCCUAAAGGGAAGAACCGAGUGUUGGGGACCAUCCAGAUCAUGACUGGCUUCAUACAUAUUAGCUUUGGGAUCAUUCUCAGCACCUUGACCAGUGUAUAUACCUCAUUCUUUGUGUCUGGAGAGAUCCCCUUCUUGGGAGGAGCAUCCUACAUUGUCUCUGGAUGCCUCUCCAUUGGUGCUGAGAAGAGCCCUACUGAAUGUGCAGUGAAGGGCUCCCAAGCCAUGAACAUCAUCAGUGCCAUCUUUGCAUUACUUGGAAUACUGACUUUUAUAGUAGAUCUGAGCAUAAAUGGGCCAUUUUACUCUGAAGAUAGCCAUCACUAUUCCUUGGUCAUGGCAACAUGCAGAAUCUCCUGCAAGAGCAUAAGUCCUCCUUGGUCCCUCUCAGCACUUGCAGAGGAGGCGGUAGACUGUGCAGGGCCUCAAACUGCAUUGUCUUGCUGUGAUGCCACAGGCAGGCAUGCCGCCAUGAAGGGUGGGGUGAGGGCUUAGCUGGGCCAGCCCCCAGUGGGACACACUUGAGAUGAGUGCAGGAAGAACCAUCUUGCUGAACAGAUAGAUGAAGCAAGCAGUGACUGUUCUCACCGCUCCUGUCUAUCUAGGGUAGGCAGUGCAGGCACACAUAGCCAGCUGUUCAGGGUGACUCUGCAGGCUAAUACGCUAGCUUUCUAUCCCUCCUCUCCAUGGUACCAUCAGGGCAGAGCUAGAGUAUCUAUCCUUCAACUGCUGCACAUGCAAAACUUCCCUGACAUGGCCAUCAUAUUUAUCCUGGGCCCUGAUUUCUCUGGUGGAAAGAUAGCCCCAGCAGGAAGUUUCUAAACUGUAUUUGAUGAAGUCUUGAGAUCUCCUCUUGAGGUGAUAGUAAGGCACUGCUGCUCAGCAUGGCCAGAGAAGGGGGUAAGGAGAACUGGGAGAGAAAGGUGAGGUGCAGAGUCUGAAAUAAGUCAGAAGCAGACAGGGUGCAGCAGAUACCAACAUGGCCCUCUCUCAUUUUGGUGCUUCUUUGGUCCUAUGGCUGCUUCUUUUGUUCUGUGGCUCCAGGCAUCUCCAGCCCUUCCUUGCUCCACUCUCCUACACUGGGCAUUGGAUGGUGAUGAUGGAACAGCAGCAGAGGAAACAGUUGGCACUUGCACAGGGCUAAGAGAAGGAAUGAAAAGACGGGUGGUGUGUGGGCAGUGGCUUCCAUUCAGCCUUUAGAAGAAAAACACAUAGGAAAUAAGAGGUCCAACUCUCAUCUAUGCUGCCAUUUUCCUCAAAAUGUGGCAUCCUAGGUGAUUGCCCGGGAUUUCCUGAUAGUCCUGCCAAUUCUGACCAAGAAUGUGUUCAUCUUUUUAUGAAAGGCCUACAGAGAUGGCAUAACACUCACUUCCUGGGGAAGGGAAUUCCAGAACUAUGGAGCAAUUACCCCUGCAUGGGUUUCUGCCAACCUUAUCCCCAACAAGUUAUGUUCUCAUAGGAAGAAUGCCUCUGUUGUUAUUAAAGCUCAAUGUAGGAGAUGCCCCGCUGAAUCUCCUACAUUCCAGAAAUAAAACAGAUUUCAUGAGAUUGUACAUAUAGAAUAGGAUCAUGAGUAUUUGUGACAUAUUUCACUAACUUUGGGCCCUGGUGCCUAACAGAAGUUAGCCACAUGGAGACUAUGCUGAACCAGCAUGAGUGGUAAAUUUUGCACAAAUCCCACCUGUGCUAUCUAGUACUACCUUCUUGUUGCAAAACUUGCUGAACUUCCAGCUUGGUACUUCAUGUGAACUUCUCUGUGGAGGAAGAUGCUCUUAAGGACUGGGGUUGCCGUGCAAUUCCAUGUCUUUCCUCCCCCCGGGCUCCUUUUCCAGUGUUAUUUCCUCCAGACCUUCUUCUGCCCUCCUUAACCUCUACUGAGGUUGACUGUGGUAAAUGCUAGCAACUAGUCCUCUCACUUAGCUCUCACUUAACCCAACUUCAAAUUAUGGUUUCACAUCCUAGUUGAGAGGGGUCCAAUGCAGGGUUACUAGCUCCAGGUUGGGAAAGGUCUGGAAGUUCUAGGAGUGGAGUCUGAGGAGGGUGGGGCUGAGGAAGGGAGGGACUUCAAUGGGGAAUAAUUCUAUAGAAUUCAUCUUUCAAAGAGGCCAUUUCUUCAUGUGAACUGAUCUCUGUUGCCUGGAUAUCAGUUGUGAUAGUGGAAGAUCUCCAUCUACCACCUGGAAAUUGACAACUCUAUCCCAAAGUGAUUAGCACCAUGGAAGAAUUCCAUUACAAAUCUUGAAAGGUUCCUCCCUAGGUUGGGGACUGAUUGUGCUGGGAACAACACACAGUUUCCCCCUCUUUUUCUUACUCUUACUUGCAACCACAUACCCAUUAUCAAAUAACUUGCAUAUUAAAUACUGGAAAAAAUAAUGUUUGCUCAAGAAAAACAAUCCAGACUAGGAAGAACAUUUUGAAACAGAGUAGCAUCUGCUGUUAGCAGCUUGACACCCACACAAAGCUGAUUUCCACCAGGGCUGAAUUCUGCCAUUGUAAAAAAACAAAAAGAUGCCUCUGCUGACAUGUGGUUUAUAUCCUGAAAGAUAUUUUUGGUGCAUUCAAUUUGCAGAAAAAUAUAUGUAUAAAUCUGGGCAGCCUGGGAGAAAAUAUCUAUUUCAAUGUGUUCAAUGCUUGUAAUAUUCUUAUAUGCUUUCUUUGUGGAGUAGACGGGCAACAGGAUUGCCAUUGUGUUGCUGUCAUUCACUAUCCUGGAAUUUGGCAUCGCAUCUGCCACUGCCUAUUUUUGGUGCCAGGCAACCCGUUCUGACUCCAAUGAGGCCAUAUUGAUUGAACCAAACACUAUCAGGACAGAUGC